UACGUAGGGUGCAAGCGUUAAUCGGAAUUACUGGGCGUAAAGCGUGCGCAGGCGGUUUUGUAAGCCAGAUGUGAAAUCCCCCGGGCUUAACCUGGGAAUGGCAUUUGGGACUGCAAGGCUUGAGUGUGGCAGAGGGGGACUGGAAUUCCUGGUGUAGCAGUGAAAUGCGUAGAGAUCAGGAGGAAUACCGAUGGCGGAAGGCAGGUCCCUGGGGCUGACACGUGACGCUCAUGCAUCG
rnacentral:rRNA from 1 species